rnacentral:rRNA from 1 species
GAUGAACGCUGGCGGGAUGCCUUACACAUGCAAGUUGUACGAGAAUUUCUAAUUCAAGUGGCGGACGGGUGAGUAACACGUAAGAAUUUACCUUUAGGAGGGGGACAACAACUGGAAACGGUUGCUAAUACCCCAUAUGCUUUUAAGUAAAAUGGAUUUUUCCGCCUAGAGAGAAGCUUGCGGCUGAUUAGCUUGUUGGUAAGGUAAUGGCUUACCAAGGCGACGAUCAGUAUCUGGUUUGAGAGGAUGAUCAGACACACUGGAACUGAGACACGGUCCAG